rnacentral:rRNA from 1 species
GGCGGACGGGUGAGUAACGCGUGGGUAACCUGCCUCACACUGGGGGAUAACAGUUAGAAAUAGCUGCUAAUACCGCAUAAGACCACAGCACCGCAUGGUGCAGGGGUAAAAACUCCGGUGGUACAGGAUGGACCCGCGUCUGAUUAGCUGGUUGGUGAGGUAACGGCUCACCAAGGCGACGAUCAGUAGCCGGCUUGAGAGAGUGAACGGCCACAUUGGGACUGAGACACGGCCCAAACUCCUACGGGAGGCAGCAUG